rnacentral:rRNA from 1 species
GACGUAGGGCGCGAGCGUUGUCCGGAUUCAUUGGGCGUAAAGAGCGCGCAGGCGGUUUUGUAAGUCGGAUGUGAAAACCCGGGGCUCAACCCCGGGCGUGCAUCUCGAUACUGCCCGACUAGAGGUAGGUAGGGGAGAUCGGAAUUCCUGGUGUAGCGGUGAAAUGCGCAGAUAUCAGGAGGAAUACCAAAGGCGAAGGCAGUGUCCUGGGGAGUGUCUGACGCUCAGGCGCGAAAGCUAGGGGAGCGAACAGG